rnacentral:rRNA from 1 species
GAUCAUGGCUCAGGAUGAACGCUAGCUACAGGCUUAACACAUGCAAGUCGGGGGGAAACGAUAUUGGAAGCUUGCUUCCGAUAGGCGUCGACCGGCGCACGGGUGAGUAACGCGUAUCCAACCUGCCCACCACUUGGGGGAUAACCUUGCGAAAGUAAGACUAAUACCCAAUGAUAUCUCUAGAAGACAUCUGAAAGAGAUUAAAGAUUUAUCGGUGAUGGAUGGGGAUGCGUCUGAUUAG